GCUGACUGGGCCUGAUCGCCUGCUUGCCCUGAAAGUGCUGCGUGAUGACUCUCAAGAGAAUCUGCUCCAUGAGCUUCCCUGGCACUGAGGAAAAACUGACAGGCCUGUAGUUCCCUGGGUCUGCCCUCCGGCCCUUCUUGUAGAUGGGGAUCAUCUUGUAGAUGGGAUCAUUCCUCGUGAUUUCUGGGAUGAACACAAAAAUCUGCCUCAGAUGAAUCCGUAAAACUGAAAAAAUGUGUGCUACCAAAAGCCUGGAAAAUUCUUGGAAUUUCUGUGCCACCCUUCUAGAGGUUCUUGGCUGGAGACUGAAGAGGUGAUGAAUGAGCUGGAAAGCUGCAAAUUGUUCCACCGUAUGAAGGGGAUUCAUUUUGACUAACUG
rnacentral:lncRNA from 1 species